AACCAGCACCUCAAGUGGUCAGGAUGAUUAUUGGGCCUAAAGCAUCCGUAGCCGGCUCUGUAAGUUUUCGGUUAAAUCUGUACGCUCAACGUACAGGCUGCCGGGAAUACUGCAGAGCUAGGGAGUGGGAGAGGUAGACGGUACUCGGUAGGAAGGGGUAAAAUCCUUUGAUCUAUUGAUGACCACCUGUGGCGAAGGCGGCCUCCUGGCUCGACACUGACACUGAGGCGCGAAAGCGUGGGGAGCAAACAGG
rnacentral:rRNA from 1 species